GAGCUUGAUCUUGGCUCAGAUUGAACGCUGGCGGUAGGCCUAACACAUGCAAGUCGAGCGGUAGAGAGAAGCUUGCUUCUCUUGAGAGCGGCGGACGGGUGAGUAAUGCCUAGGAAUCUGCCUGGUAGUGGGGGAUAACGCUCGGAAACGGACGCUAAUACCGCAUACGUCCUACGGGAGAAAGCAGGGGACCUUCGGGCCUUGCGCUAUCAGAUGAGCCUAGGUCGGAUUAGCUAGUUGGUGAGGUAAUGGCUCACCAAGGCGACGAUCCGUAACUGGUCUGAGAGGAUGAUCAGUCACACUGGAACUGAGACACGGUCCAGACUCCUACGGGAGGCAGCAGUGGGGAAUAUUGGACAAUGGGCGAAAGCCUGAUCCAGCCAUGCCGCGUGUGUGAAGAAGGUCUUCGGAUUGUAAAGCACUUUAAGUUGGGAGGAAGGGCAGUAAAUUAAUACUUUGCUGUUUUGACGUUACCGACAGAAUAAGCACCGGCUAACUCUGUGCCAGCCGCCG
rnacentral:rRNA from 1 species